GAAAUACUUUUUCGUCCAAAAAUACUUGUCGGAGAAAUGAAUGUAUCCAGAUAUAUUUUAGUUUUAAAUACAUCCAUUUUUAUCAAUUUCUAUGACAAGUAAUUUCGGACGGAGGGAGUAAUAG
rnacentral:pre_miRNA from 1 species